GGUGAGCGUAACGUCUCGCUGUCACCUGAGUGGGGGUCGUCCGUUGGUGGCAGGAGAAUCGCGCUUCCCUGCCUGGCACCGGGUACAAGUGACAAUCUGCCCCUUGCAAGGCCGCAGUCUCCGGUGGGAUGGGGACGGAGGUCCCCAUCUCUCGGGUGAUGAUGAGACGCGCAACGCCUCAGGCUGGAAACAGAGCAGGGAAAAGUGUCCGCUGUGGCGCAGAGCAGGGAUCACAGAGUGUCACCCCGGCUGAACAGGGCAGGUGGAGGAGCUCCUCACACCGCGUUU
rfam:Toxoplasma gondii ME49 gcontig_1112359859138, whole genome shotgun sequence.